UACAGAGGGUGCGAGCGUUGUCCGGAAUCACUGGGCGUAAAGGGCGCGUAGGUGGCCUGAUAAGUAGGGGGUGAAAUCUCGAGGCUCAACUUCGAGGCUGCCUCCUAAACUGUCAGGCUUGAGCAGAGUAGAGGCAGGUGGAAUUCCCGGUGUAGCGGUGAAAUGCGUAGAUAUCAGGAGGAACACCUGCGGUGUAGACGGCUUUCUGGACCACUACUGACACUGAGGCACGAAAGCGUGGGGAGCAAACAGG
rnacentral:rRNA from 1 species